GAACGGGUGAGUACACGUGGGUGAUCUGCCCUGCACUUUGGGAUAAGCCUGGGAAACUGGGUCUAAUACCGAAUAUGAUCACGGGCUUCAUGGUCUGUGGUGGAAAGCUUUUGCGGUGUGGGAUGGGCCCGCGGCCUAUCNGNNNGUUGGUGGGGUAAUGGCCUACCAAGGCGACGACGGGUAGCCGGCCUGAGAGGGUGACCGGCCACACUGGGACUGAGAUACGGCCCAGACUCCUACGGGAGGCAGCAGUGGGGAAUAUUGCACGAUGGGCGCAAGCCUGAUGCAGCGACGCCGCGUGAGGGAUGACGGCCUUCGGGUUGUAAACCUCUUUCAGCACAGACGAAGCGCAAGUGACGGUAUGUGCAGAAGAAGGACCAGCCAACUACGUGCCAGCAGCCGCGGUAAUACGUAGGGUCCGAGCGUUGUCCGGAAUUACUGGGCGUAAAGAGCUCGUAGGUGGUUUGUCGCGUUGUUCGUGAAAACUCACAGCUUAACUGUGGGCGUGCGGGCGAUACGGGCAGACUGGAGUACUGCAGGGGAGACUGGAAUUCCUGGUGUAGCGGUGGAAUGCGCAGAUAUCAGGAGGAACACCGGUGGCGAAGGCGGGUCUCUGGGCAGUAACUGACGCUGAGGAGCGAAAGCGUGGGGAGCGAACAGGAUUAGGUACCCUGGUAGUCCACGCCGUAAACGGUGGGUACUAGGUGUGGGUUUCCUUCCUUGGGAUCCGUGCCGUAGCUAACGCAUUAAGUACCCCGCCUGGGGAGUACGGCCGCAAGGCUAAAACUCAAAGGAAUUGACGGGGGCCCGCACAAGCGGCGGAGCAUGUGGAUUAAUUCGAUGCAACGCGAAGAACCUUACCUGGGUUUGA
rnacentral:rRNA from 1 species